CAGGGAUUUCAACCUGGCCCACAUGAAGAUGGAGACAACCAUCAUCACCUGGACUGAGCUGCAGCUUCCUAUUCCCUGCGCUCCAUCCGUGUCCUGGAGGCCCCUACCUCUGACAGCAAGGUGGUCUGGACCCCACAGGCCCCGUGGGCCUACCUCGCCCGGGCGCACAAGUUCCCCUCACUGUGGGAGACUGACGGCCGCGCCGCUUCACCUGCCGUCGGCCGGGUUCCUGACGGCACCGC